GAUGAACGCUGGCGGCGUGCCUAAUACAUGCAAGUCGAGCGAACGGACGAGAAGCUUGCUUCUCUGAUGUUAGCGGCGGACGGGUGAGUAACACGUGGAUAACCUACCUAUAAGACUGGGAUAACUUCGGGAAACCGGAGCUAAUACCGGAUAAUAUUUUGAACCGCAUGGUUCAAAAGUGAAAGACGGUCUUGCUGUCACUUAUAGAUGGAUCCGCGCUGCAUUAGCUAGUUGGUAAGGUAACGGCUUACCAAGGCAACGAUGCAUAGCCGACCUGAGAGGGUGAUCGGCCACACUGGAACUGAGACACGGUCCAGACUCCUACGGGAGGCAGCAGUAGGGAAUCUUCCGCAAUGGGCGAAAGCCUGACGGAGCAACGCCGCGUGAGUGAUGAAGGUCUUCGGAUCGUAAAACUCUGUUAUUAGGGAAGAACAUAUGUGUAAGUAACUGUGCACAUCUUGACGGUACCUAAUCAGAAAGCCACGGCUAACUACGUGCCAGCAGCCGCGGUAAUACGUAGGUGGGGCAGCGUAUCGGAAUUAUUGGGCGUAAAGCGCGCGUAGGCAGUUUUUUUAGUCUGAUGUGAAAGCCCACGGCUCAACCGUGGAGGGUCAUUGGAAACUGGAAAACUUGAGUGCAGAAGAGGAAAGUGGAAUUCCAUGUGUAGCGGUGAAAUGCGCAGAGAUAUGGAGGAACACCAGUGGCGAAGGCGACUUUCUGGUCUGUAACUGACGCUGAUGUGCGAAAGCGUGGGGAUCAAACAGGAUUAGAUACCCUGGUAGUCCACGCCGUAAACGAUGAGUGCUAAGUGUUAGGGGGUUUCCGCCCCUUAGUGCUGCAGCUAACGCAUUAAGCACUCCGCCUGGGGAGUACGACCGCAAGGUUGAAACUCAAAGGAAUUGACGGGGACCCGCACAAGCGGUGGAGCAUGUGGUUUAAUUCGAAGCAACGCGAAGAACCUUACCAAAUCUUGACAUCCUUUGACAACUCUAGAGAUAGAGCCUUCCCCUUCGGGGGACAAAGUGACAGGUGGUGCAUGGUUGUCGUCAGCUCGUGUCGUGAGAUGUUGGGUUAAGUCCCGCAACGAGCGCAACCCUUAAGCUUAGUUGCCAUCAUUAAGUUGGGCACUCUAAGUUGACUGCCGGUGACAAACCGGAGGAAGGUGGGGAUGACGUCAAAUCAUCAUGCUCCUUAUGAUUUGGGCUACACACGUGCUACAAUGGACAAUACAAAGGGCAGCGAAACCGCGAGGUCAAGCAAAUCCCAUAAAGUUGUUCUCAGUUCGGAUUGUAGUCUGCAACUCGACUACAUGAAGCUGGAAUCGCUAGUAAUCGUAGAUCAGCAUGCUACGGUGAAUACGUUCCCGGGUCU
rnacentral:rRNA from 1 species